GACGAACGCUGGCGGCGUGCCUAAUACAUGCAAGUCGAACGAGAGCGCCCGGUGCUUGCGCUGGUAAAUCUAGUGGCGAACGGGUGAGUAACACGUGGGUAACCUGCUCCUCAGAGGGGGAUGACAUCCGGAAACGGAUGCUAAAACCGCCUAGGUCUUCGAGCCGCAUGGCUUGAAGAGGAAAAGAGGCUCACGCUUCUGCUGGUGGCUGGAUCCGCGGUGCAUUAGCUAGUUGGUGAGGUAACGGCUCACCAAGGCCGCGAUGCAUAGCCGACCUGAGAGGGUGAUCAGCCACAUUGGAACUGAGACACGGCCCAGACUCCUACGGGAGGCAGCAGUAGGGAAUCUUCCGCAAUGGGCGCAAGUCUGACGGAGCAACGCCGCGUGAGUGAAGAAGGUUUUCGGAUCGUAAAACUCUGUUGUUAGAGAAGAACAAGUGCUAGUGUAACUGUUAGCGUCUUGACGGUACCUAACCAGAAAGCCACGGCUAACUACGUG
rnacentral:rRNA from 1 species